AGAGUUUGAUCCUGGCUCAGAACGAACGCUGGCGGCAUGCCUAACACAUGCAAGUCGAACGCCUGUAGCAAUACAGGAGUGGCGCACGGGUGAGUAACACGUGGGAACCUGCCCUGGAGUGGGGGAUAACCGAGGGAAACCUCGGCUAAUACCGCAUACGACCUGAGGGUGAAAGAUUUGUCGCUCUAGGAGGGGCCCGCGUCGGAUUAGCUAGUUGGUGAGGUAACGGCUCACCAAGGCAAUGAUCCGUAGCUGGUCUGAGAGGAUGGUCAGCCACACUGGGACUGAGACACGGCCCAGACUCCUACGGGAGGCAGCAGUGGGGAAUAUUGGACAAUGGGGGCAACCCUGAUCCAGCAAUGCCGCGUGAGUGAUGAAGGCCUUAGGGUUGUAAAGCUCUUUCGGCGGGGACGAUGAUGACGGUACCCGCAGAAGAAGCCCCGGCUAACUUCGUGCCAGCAGCCGCGGUAAUACGAAGGGGGCGAGCGUUGUUCGGAUUUACUGGGCGUAAAGGGCGCGCAGGCGGCUUUGGAAGUCAGAUGUGAAAGCCCCGGGCUUAACCUGGGAAUUGCAUUUGAUACUCUGGAGCUAGAGUGUGGGAGAGGAUAGUGGAAUUCCCAGUGUAGAGGUGAAAUUCGUAGAUAUUGGGAAGAACACCGGUGGCGAAGGCGGCUAUCUGGACCACAACUGACGCUGAGGCGCGAAAGCGUGGGGAGCAAACAGGAUUAGAUACCCUAGUAGUCC
rnacentral:rRNA from 1 species